CCCCACCAUCAAGGAUAUGCUUUGAUAUUCUAUUUAUUUCUUAUCGAUCAUAUCCUAAUAUCUAAACUAUUUUCAUCCUUUUCCAAAAAACAAAUCACUAUUUUAAAAUAAAAUACUUUUCCUUUUUUUAAGAAAGUAUUAUUUUGUUUUAUAAGAUAUAUUUUCAUGUAAGGAUAUCUGCAUUUCACAACCAUAAACAUCCUUAUUUUGUUCGUGUGAGUAUAAAUAUUUG
rnacentral:lncRNA from 1 species